rnacentral:lncRNA from 1 species
ACUAUGGAUGGAUUGUUAGUGUGAAAGAUAUAAUUGGAGGACAUGUAUGGUUAGGUUCCAUUUGUAUAUUUGGUGGCAUCUGGCAUAUCUUAACCAAACCUUUUGCAUGGGCUCGCCACGUACGACGAGUCUGGCAUGUUUAAUAAAACAGUGCUAUUCCAUUUGCAUCAAUGCCAAGUUAAAUAAUACAUAGAAUUUGCCUUUUCAUAAAAAUAAUAAAAAAUCAUACAUGCAUCAUCAUCAUCAUUCGUACAAAAGAUACCAAACCUUUUGCAUGGGCUCGCCAGGUACGACGAGUCUGGCAUGUUUAAUAAAACAGUGCUAUUCCAUUUGCAACAAUGCCAAGUUAAAUAAUACAUAGAAUUUG